rnacentral:rRNA from 2 species
CCAAGGAGUCUAACAUGCGCGCGAGUCAUUGGGCUGUACGAAACCCAAAGGCGCAGUGAAAGCGAGGGCCGCCUCGGGCUGGCCCAGGUGGGAUCCCUGGCCUCCGCGAGGAGGGCGGGGCGCACCACCGGCCCGUCCCGUCCGCGCUGUCGGUGGGGCGGAGCAGGAGCGUGCGCGUUGGGACCCGAAAGAUGGUGAACUAUGCCCGAGUAGAACGAAGCCAGAGGAAACUCUGGUGGAAGUCCGUAGCGAUUCUGACGUGCAAAUCGAUCGUCAAACUUGGGUAUAGGGGCGAAAGACUAAUCGAACCAUCUAGUAGCUGGUUCCCUCCGAAGUUUCCCUCAGGAUAGCUGGCGCACUCUCGCAGUUUUAUCCGGUAAAGCGAAUGAUUAGAGGCCUUGGGGACGAAACGACCUCAACCUAUUCUCAAACUUUAAAUGGGUAAGAAGUCCGGCUCGCUCGAUCUGGAGCCGGGCCUCCUCGAAUGCGUGUGCCAAGUGGGCCA